rnacentral:lncRNA from 1 species
GAGCAUUGCCACUUUUAGCUUAACGUCUGCAGAUAAUUGGAUGUGAGCAGAGCUGUGGAAGACCUAAUCUAACAAGGUUGGAAAAUGUCUGGCAGCCAACAUGGACAGAAUAUCCUUAACCAUGGAUGCCCGACUAGUGUUCCAGCAAGGUGUUGGUCUUUCGAUACCCCUUAAGGUGGUGCCAGUUCCUGUUUCUUGUUUGUGGAUCAGCCAAGUGGACUACUUUUAAUUGGUCAUGGCUAAAAGAUGGAGGAUGCCGUCUUGGCCUGUGACUGGACUCUGCAAGAAUGUCUGAACAGGGCUGUCCUUUUUUUUUUUUUAAUUCUAGGUAUUCAUCAUUUUAUUAUACUUUACACCUUUUCUGCUGUUUUGCAUCUUAUGAUGAUUAUCCUUGAAUCUCGUUCGUCUGAACUCCUGUUGAAAUAUACCACGAUCUGAUUAUGCACAGGUAUAAUUAUUUUUUUUAUAAGUUGUGGGGCUUUAAAACUAAACUUGUUCAACUCUUUAGGUGGGCUUUCUAAGAUGAAGUUGCUGUGAUCUGAUGUCCUGGAACUGCUUCGUUCUUAGAUUGUAGCUAAAUGUAAAGGGGGACCUGGAGGAGCCCAGUUCAGGACUGCCUGAACCGCAUCCUCUAGAAU